rnacentral:rRNA from 1 species
ACUCCUACGGGAGGCAGCAGUGGGGAAUAUUGGGCAAUGGAGGAAACUCUGACCCAGCGACGCCGCGUGCGGGAUGAAGGCCUUCGGGUUGUAAACCGCUUUCAGCAGGGAAGAAGCGAAAGUGACGGUACCUACAAAAGAAGCACCGGCUAACUAUGUGCCAGCAGCCGCGGUAAUAC